GAUGAACGCUGGCGGCGUGCUUAACACAUGCAAGUCGAACGGAAAGGCCUCUGCUUGCAGGGGUUCUCGAUUGGCGAACGGGUGUGUAACACGUGGGUGAACUGCCCUGCACUUCGUGAGAAGCCUGGGAAACUGGGGCUAAUAUCGGAUAGGACAUUUUUUUCGAUGUUGUUGUGGAAUGUUUUUCGGUGUUGUAUGAGCUCGCGGCGUAUCAGCUUGUUGAUGGGGUAGUGGCAUACCAAGGCGCCGACGGGUAGCCGGCAUAAGAGAAUGCACGGCCAGUCUAGAAUUCAAAGACAGGCAGGAGUAGGGCAGGAGGCAGCAGUGGGGAAUAUUGGACAGUGCAAGCAAGCGUGAGGCAGGAAGGCCGCGUGAGGGAUGAAGGCUUUCGGGUGGUAAGCACCUUUCGGUAGGGACGAAGCGAUUUUGUGACGGUACCUGGAGAGAAAGCAACGGCUAACUACGUG
rnacentral:rRNA from 1 species